rnacentral:rRNA from 1 species
CCUACGGGAGGCAGCAGUGGGGAAUAUUGGACAAUGGGGGGAACCCUGAUCCAGCCAUGCCGCGUGUGUAAAGAAGGCCCUCGGGUUGUAAAGCACUUUCAGUGAGGAAGAACGCCUGGUGGUUAAUACCCAUCAGGAAAGACAUCACUCACAGAAGAAGCACCGGCUAACUCCGUGCCAGCAGCCGCGGUAAUACGGAGGGUGCGAGCGUUAAUCGGAAUUACUGGGCGUAAAGCGCGCGUAGGUGGCUUGAUAAGCCGGUUGUGAAAGCCCCGGGCUCAACCUGGGAACGGCAUCCGGAACUGUCAAGUUAGAGUGCAGGAGAGGAAGGUAGAAUUCCCGGUGUAGCGGUGAAAUGCGUAGAGAUCGGGAGGAAUACCAGUGGCGAAGGCGGCCUUCUGGACUGACACUGACACUGAGGUGCGAAAGCGUGGGUAGCAAACAGGAUUAGAUACCCUUGUAGUC